rfam:Trichobilharzia regenti genome assembly, scaffold: TRE_scaffold0019919
GUACUGAUGAAGAGUCCCAAACUAGGACGAAACAGCCGUCCAGUAC